UACGACUACAUAUCAGGCAUAUCAAUAAGCGGAGGAAAAGAAACUAACAAGGAUUCCCUUAGUAACGGCGAGUGAAGCGGGAAGAGCUCAAAUUUGAAAUCUUCAAGGUUCUACCUUGACGAAUUGUAGUUUAAAGAAGUGUUUUCUGUUAGAUGUUAGGUAAAAGUUCCUUGGAAUAGGGACAUCAUAGAGGGUGAGAAUCCCGUAUUUGACUUAUUCAUUCUAGCGUUGUGAUACACUUUCAAAGAGUCGGAUUGUUUGGGAAUGCAGUCCAAAAUGGGUGGUAAAUUUCAUCUAAAGCUAAAUAUUGGCGAGAGACCGAUAGCGAACAAGUACCGUGAGGGAAAGAUGAAAAGAACUUUGAAAAGAGAGUUAAACAGGUACGUGAAAUUGUCAAAGGGGAAGCGUUUGACACCAGUGUUGUUUUUCCGAAAAUCAAUUACGAAUGGCUUGAUUUUGUGUUGUAUUGACCUUAUCAGCUUUCUUCACUUUUUUCGAGUCUUUCUUAAUGCACUUUUCGGUUAACAAGUCAACAUCAAUUUCUUUUGUUGUAAAAGAGUAUUCGGAAGGUGGCUUUCUUUUCGGAGAAAGUGUUUAUAGCCCUAUACUUCUACAAUCGGAGAGAUUGAGGUCUGCAGCGUAGAUCCUUCGAGGUUAGAUACAUUUGUGCUAAGUUGUAGCUUUUCAUAGACAACUUGUUGACUAUGUUUAGUCAUGCGGCUUACUCGCUUGUGCUAUUUUACCUACGCUUAGGAUGUUGAGUAGCGACAUACGCAC
rnacentral:rRNA from 1 species